rnacentral:rRNA from 1 species
GUACGGCCGCAAGGUUAAAACUCAAAUGAAUUGACGGGGGCCCGCACAAGCGGUGGAGCAUGUGGUUUAAUUCGAUGCAACGCGAAGAACCUUACCUACUCUUGACAUCCACGGAACUUGCCAGAGAUGGCUUGGUGCCUUCGGGAACCGUGAGACAGGUGCUGCAUGGCUGUCGUCAGCUCGUGUUGUGAAAUGUUGGGUUAAGUCCCGCAACGAGCGCAACCCUUAUCCUUUGUUGCCAGCGGU